CGCAGAGGAGGACCAGAGCAAUAUUGUGUAUCAAAAGCUGCGGUGAUGUUUUUAGUAGAAGUGACGAAAAUGAAACCUCUAAUUAUUUUGCCCUUUUUGCUCUUGUGUUCAGUCAAUCAUGGAGAAGUGGAGAAAAAAGUGGAAAAAGAGGAGCUUCUGCUUAGUUUGUCCUUAUUGCUCUGGUAUUUAAUCAAUCAAGAACUAUAUGGCCUAACUGUUCAACCUCAUUUUGAUUACAAGUUUGAACAGAACUAUCUACAAUCUCAGGGAUGUUUUAUUUUAGACAUUCGUGCCCACACAGCAGGGGACUCCUAGGCGGAUCCGCAUUCAAGUCGCCAAAUCCGCGUGACUGUCACCAGAGGUGAACUUGAUGCUGAAACAACUGAAAUACAAUCAGUGUCAGUGAUGGAGGGAGAUUCUGUCACUUUACACACCAGUGUUACUAAAAUACGUGAAGACGAUGACAUACUGUGGAAAUUUGGAGCUGAAAACUCUC